UUCAUGAUAUUCCCUUCUUGCCUGUAGAGUUUCUGAUGAGAAAUCAGAUGACAGCUUUAUAGGAGCUCCUUUGUAGGUAACAAUUUGCUUUUCUCUUACUGCCUUUAAGAUUCUCUCUUUGUCUUUAAUUUUUGGCAUUUUAAUUAUGAUAUGUCUGAGUGUGGGCCUGUUUGUGUUCUUUUUGCUUGGGAUUUUCUAUACAUCCUGGAUUGUG